rnacentral:rRNA from 1 species
CGUCGUGAGACAGUUCGGUCCCUAUCUGCCGUGGGCGCUGGAGAAUUGAGGGGGGCUGCUCCUAGUACGAGAUGACCGGAGUGGACGCAUCACUGGUGUUCGGGUUGUCAUGCCAAUGGCACUGCCCGUUAGCUAAAUGCGGAAGAGAUAAGUGCUGAAAGCAUCUAAGCACGAAACUUGCCCCGAGAUGAGUUCUCCCUGAGUCUUUAAGUCUCCUGAAGGAACGUUGAAGACGACGACGU